rnacentral:rRNA from 1 species
AGUGAACGCUGGCGGUAGGCCUAACACAUGCAAGUCGAACGGCAGCACAGUAAGAGCUUGCUCUUACGGGUGGCGAGUGGCGGACGGGUGAGGAAUACAUCGGAAUCUACUUUUUCGUGGGGGAUAACGUAGGGAAACUUACGCUAAUACCGCAUACGACCUACGGGUGAAAGCAGGGGAUCUUCGGACCUUGCGCGAUUGAAUGAGCCGAUGUCGGAUUAGCUAGUUGGCGGGGUAAAGGCCCACCAAGGCGACGAUCCGAAGCUGGUCUGAGAGGAUGAUCAGCCACACUGGAACUGAGACACGGUCCAGACUCCUACGGGAGGCAGCAGUGGGGAAUAUUGGACAAUGGGCGCAAGCCUGAUCCAGCCAUACCGCGUGGGUGAAGAAGGCCUUCGGGUUGUAAAGCCCUUUUGUUGGGAAAGAAAAGCAGCAGGUUAAUACCCCGCUGUUCUGACGGUACCCAAAGAAUAAGCACCGGCUAACUUCGUG